rnacentral:rRNA from 1 species
ACUCCUACGGGAGGCAGCAGUGGGGAAUAUUGCACAAUGGGCGCAAGCCUGAUGCAGCCAUGCCGCGUGUGUGAAGAAGGCCUUCGGGUUGUAAAGCACUUUCAGUCGUGAGGAAGGUAGUGUAGUUAAUAGCUGCAGUAUUUGUACGUUAGCGACAGAAGAAGCACCGGCUAACUCCGUGCCAGCAGCCGCGGUAAUACGGAGGGUGCGAGCGUUAAUCGGAAUUACUGGGCGUAAAGCGCAUGCAGGUGGUUGUUAAGUCAGAUGUGAAAGCCCGGGGCUCAACCUCGGAAUAGCAUUUGAAACUGGCAGACUAGAGUACUGUAGAGGGGGUUAGAAUUUCAGGUGUAGCGGUGAAAUGCGUAGAGAUCUGAAGGAAUACCGGUGGCGAAGGCGGCCCCUGGACAGAUACUGACACUCAGAUGCGAAAGCGUGGGAGCAAACAGGAUUAGAUACCCCUGGUAGACUGUCA